GUCGAGAAGGCUGCUUUGGUUUUCAUCAUAUAGCUUCUGUCCUGUUGUGAUCAGUUCCAAAAUGAUGAAGCUUUGGACUUCUAUCUGACUAAUUAAAAAACACUAGGAGAUAACAAGAAAACUGCAAGCAGUUCAGAAUUACACAGCACCAAACAGACACAAAACUGUUUUCUGUAAGGUAAGUCAUCUUUGUAGAACUCUGCAA
rnacentral:lncRNA from 1 species